UCCCCGAUAGCUCAACCGGUAGAGCAGGCGGCUGUUAACCGCAAGGUUCCAGGUUCGAGCCCUGGUCGGGGAG
rnacentral:tRNA from 1 species